rnacentral:misc_RNA from 1 species
ACCGACGACUUGCAGCGCUAUAUGGCGUAGAGCGAGGUCGCCCGCACUGCCAUGCUACGAUAAAUACUUGUCAGGUCUCGGGCUCCGUGCAACGGGCGGCUGCAAACCCCGCCAGGUCCGGAAGGAAGCAACGGUAGCGGUGCGGUUCGUGUGCCGCGGAUCACCCGGGGCCUGGCAGCCUGUCCGUUGGU